CCUACGGGGGGCUGCAGUGGGGAAUAUUGGACAAUGGGGGCAACCCUGAUCCAGCCAUGCCGCGUGUGUGAAGAAGGCCCUCGGGUUGUAAAGCACUUUCAGUGAGGAAGAACGCCUGGUGGUUAAUACCCAUCAGGAAAGACAUCACUCACAGAAGAAGCACCGGCUAACUCCGUGCCAGCAGCCGCGGUAAUACGGAGGGUGCGAGCGUUAAUCGGAAUUACUGGGCGUAAAGCGCGCGUAGGUGGCUUGAUAAGCCGGUUGUGAAAGCCCCGGGCUCAACCUGGGAACGGCAUCCGGAACUGUCAAGCUAGAGUGCAGGAGAGGAAGGUAGAAUUCCCGGUGUAGCGGUGAAAUGCGUAGAGAUCGGGAGGAAUACCAGUGGCGAAGGAGGCCUUCUGGACUGACACUGACACUGAGGUGCGAAAGCGUGGGUAGCAAACAGGAUUAGAUACCCGAGUAGUC
rnacentral:rRNA from 1 species